UACGGGGGGUGCAAGCGUUGUUCGGAUUUACUGGGCGUAAAGGGCGCGUAGGCGGUCAUCACAAGCCAGCUGUGAAAUCUCCGGGCUUAACUCGGAAAGGUCAACUGAUACUGUGCGACUAGAGUGCAGAAGGGGCAACUGGAAUUCUCGGUGUAGCGGUGAAAUGCGUAGAUAUCGAGAGGAACACCUGCGGCGAAGGCGGGUUGCUGGGCUGACACUGACGCUGAUGCGCGAAAGCCAGGGGAGCGAACGGG
rnacentral:rRNA from 1 species